rnacentral:lncRNA from 1 species
UGGGCACAUUAAAAAAAAAAAAAGGAGCUAUGAAAACAAAUACCAUUCAAAUAAUUAGGAUCUUAUGCCUGAGGCCAGCCUUGAUGCCAAGCAGGGACUUCCCUGCAGGAAUCGGAGCUGAGCCUGAUCCCAAAAGGAAGAAUCUGGGUUACCAGCUGCAAAAAAGGAGCCCCCUUCCCUGUUCGCUGGACCAAGAAGCCCAAGGUGGGAGCCAGCAGCUCAGGGAGGAAGGAACUUGGCCUCUAUUUGCAGGACGAAAUCCAGCCAGAGACCCCAGAGCCAGGUGGGAAGACUCCGACAACAGGAGAUAGGGCUGACUUCUUAGCCAGCAGGAAAUCUCUGCGUCCUGAGAGGAUGAGGAUUAAAAGGCACCCUUCCCCUGGCCUCUCUUCUCCUGGCUUCCAGACUUGGUGAGGUGAACCCAGAGUGGAUUUCAGCUCAUUCUUUCUCUCUCCAUCUUGUGGCCCAGCUUCGGGGACCUAGCAAAGGACUGGACAAGAAAAGGGCUUUGCCAGGAUUUGACUCAGCCUUUCUGGCAUGGAGACAGCUGAUGGACCUUCAUAUCUAGCUGCUCCAGGAAGCCUCAGGCUCUGGCUCUGGUGCUGACCCAGUCUUAAGUUCCUUCUCCAAAGCAGCUGCACAAAUCCCACCAAGAAUUCUCUACCUGUGAGACCACUUCCCCCAAACUGCUGGGUUUUGUGUUGACUGCUAAUAGGUAACAGAUUCUUAUCACCUGAAAAUAAGACCUAGCUGAGAAAGAUUCAGCCUUCAAAAGUAGAGAUCAAAAAUGCCAGCCCCAGGGCCUGGGAUUUAGCUCAGUGGUUCCGGCACCUGCCUUGCAAGCACAAGGUCCCGAGUUCGAUCCCCAGUACCAAAAAACAAAAAAUGCCGGCCCCAAUCAGCCUAUUCCUGCCUUACCUGCCAUCACUGUUCUGGCUUGGUAGCUACUCUGUAAGGCAGUCUUUCCCAACUAGGUCUUAUUUUCAGAAACAUGGUAUCGUGAGCUCAAAGGUACACUGCUGACUGAUCCUCAAUUACUUCAUUCUGAACUCAGAGGCUCUGUGGCACAAAUGUUCAUAGACACUGAGGGCCCCACCUGGCACUUGAAUAAAAAUACAAGCAAAAGGGGAGACAGACACCAUUGCCAGGCCAAGAAAUGACAAGCCAGUAAUAAAGAGCAUCCACACACGUCACAGUUGUAAGGUGGCUUUAUGUUCGAAUAUGUAAAAUAAAAUGUCCAUGCUAUAUAACAAAACACUUGAAGUUCCAUAUCACCUGUUAGCUAAUGUGUUUUCUA